rnacentral:rRNA from 1 species
GACGAACGCUGGCGGCGUGCUUAACACAUGCAAGUCGAACGGAAAGGCCCUGCUUUUGUGGGGUGCUCGAGUGGCGAACGGGUGAGUAACACGUGAGUAACCUGCCCUUGACUUUGGGAUAACUUCAGGAAACUGGGGCUAAUACCGGAUAGGAUCUCCUGCUGCAUGGUGGGGGUUGGAAAGUUUCGGCGGUUGGGGAUGGACUCGCGGCUUAUCAGCUUGUUGGUGGGGUUGUGGCUUACCAAGGCUUUGACGGGUAGCCGGCCUGGGAGGGUGACCGGCCACAUGGGGACUGGGGUACGGCCCAGACUCAUACGGGAGGCAGGAGUGGGGAAUAUUGCACAAUGGGCGGAAGCAUGGUGCAGCAACGCCGCGUGCGGGAUGACGGCCUUCGGGUUGUAAACCGCUUUCGCGUGUGACGAAGCGUGAGGGACGGUAAUGGGUAAAGAAGCACCGGCUAACUACGU